GGUAUUUUAAUAGUUAAUUCCUCACAUUUUGCUUAGUUAAUUCCUUAACGAAUCGAUUUUUAACUCAAUUUCUAUUUUCUUAGGUACAUUGGAGUAAAUGAUGGUGAAAUGAGCAUUAGGUCCACACUUACCUAUAAAUGGUGGAGAAAAAUGGAAAUGUACUAAAAUGUCAAUUUUACACAUUUUCCUACUCCGGCUAGGAGAAACCAAGCCAAGCAAGGAAGAAGGAGCGGCCGCCUAACCAAAUGAACUCUAAAUGAGCUGAAACUUUCCAGAUCCAUUCUAGACAUCCUAAGGAUCAUUUCUUAUGAAGAGUGCCAGAGCUAGUUUUGAGUGGAAGGCCUUCAAACAGUCAGCCCAAUUUCCUGCAGAAGCAAAACUGGAAAACUGGACCCGUAAGGAGUCCAGCAGAGAUUCUGGCCCAAAGGCAUGGAAAUAAAUUCUGAAAUUUUACCAAAAUGAUCUACACUCAUGGUAGAUCAUUUCAUAUGAAGAAGUCACGAGCCAAAUCUGAAGUCCUGUUGGAGAAAUAAUUGAAGGAAUAAAGGGGCAGAAACUGAUCUAAAAACAGCUCAACACCACAUGUUCAAGUUUCCUACCCACAUGAAGAAAGCUAGAUGCUUUUCUCUUUUUCCUUGGAUAUAUUUUUCUGCUCCAAUAGAUCAUCAUCACUUCCAUACUUCUGCACCUUCAUGCCUUGCUUUCAUUUCAUCAUUACUCCAUCUUUUCCAUAUUUUACAAACCACUUUCAUUAUUUUUCUUCCAUUUAUCAUUUCACUCUUCUUUUUCUUCCCUAUAUAAACACCUUCUCCUCUCACUCUAACCACAUUCCUUCAUCCAUUCCAUCUUCUUUGUCUCUCCAUUUCCUUUCCAUUUUCCUUUCCAACAUCCUCUAGGGCAAGCCACGAAGUUCAAGCAAGGCCAAGGAAGAGAAGAACCAAGCCGUGAGCAUCAUCAUCCAUCCUCCACCUCUGAAGCUUGCUUUCGAGUCUCAAAGGAUUCAACGUUAUUCACCCAUCUUCAUCUUCCAUCCACGGUGUGUACCCUCAAUCCCCGGAAUAGAACGAUCCCUACUUGCUUAUACUACUAAUGAUAUUUAUAGGGUUAAAUUAUGCGCUUGCUUUGAGCGUAUCAAGCCACGGAGUUCAAGCAAGGCCGAAGGGAGAAGAAGGAGCCGUGACUAUUCCUCCACCAUCCACCAUUGAAGACUUGCUUUCAAGCUUCAAGGAUCACAACGAAAAUCAUCCAUCCUCAUCUUCCAUCCACGGUGUAAUUCGACCUCUACUUUGUAACCUUUGUUUGAAUUUCGUUGGUUUGCUUUAGUUGACAUUCAUGAUUGAACAAAGUUAUUAUUUCUGGAAUUUUUAUGAUUAAAUGAGAAUUUUCAGAUUCUAUUAUUGUAA